AUUGAACGCUGGCGGCAGGCCUAACACAUGCAAGUCGAGCGGAUGAAGGGAGCUUGCUCCUGGAUUCAGCGGCGGACGGGUGAGUAAUGCCUAGGAAUCUGCCUGGUAGUGGGGGAUAACGUCCGGAAACGGGCGCUAAUACCGCAUACGUCCUGAGGGAGAAAGUGGGGGAUCUUCGGACCUCACGCUAUCAGAUGAGCCUAGGUCGGAUUAGCUAGUUGGUGGGGUAAAGGCCUACCAAGGCGACGAUCCGUAACUGGUCUGAGAGGAUGAUCAGUCACACUGGAACUGAGACACGGUCCAGCCUCCUACGGGAGGCAGCAGUGGGGAAUAUUGGACAAUGGGCGAAAGCCUGAUCCAGCCAUGCCGCGUGUGUGAAGAAGGUCUUCGGAUUGUAAAGCACUUUAAGUUGGGAGGAAGGGCAGUAAGUUAAUACCUUGCUGUUUUGACGUUACCAACAGAAUAAGCACCGGCUAACUUCGG
rnacentral:rRNA from 1 species